AGUGAACGCUGGCGGCAGGCCUAACACAUGCAAGUCGAACGGCAGCACAGCAGUAGCAAUACUGUGGGUGGCGAGUGGCGGACGGGUGAGGAAUACAUCGGGAUCUACCUUUUCGUGGGGGAUAACGUAUGGAAACGUACGCUAAUACCGCAUGCGCCCUACGGGGGAAAGUCGGGGACCGCAAGGCCUGACGCGAUUGGAUGAGCCCAUGUUCGAUUAGCUAGUUGGCGGGGUAAAGGCCCACCAAGGCGACGAUCGAUAGCUGGUCUGAGAGGAUGAUCAGCCACACUGGAACUGAGACACGGUCCAGACUCCUACGGGAGGCAGCAGUAGGGAAUAUUGGACAAUGGGGGCAACCCUGAUCCAGCCAUGCCGCGUGAGUGAAGAAGGCCCUCGGGUUGUAAAGCUCUUUUGUCCGGAAAGAAAAGCAUCUGGUUAAUACCCGGGUGUUCUGACGGUACCGGAAGAAUAAGCACCGGCUAACUUCGUGCCAGCAGCC
rnacentral:rRNA from 1 species